rnacentral:rRNA from 1 species
UACAGAGACUGCAAGCGUUAUUCGGAUUCACUGGGCGUAAAGGGCGCGUAGGCGGCGCGGUAAGUCACUUGUGAAAUCUCUGAGCUUAACUCAGAACGGCCAAGUGAUACUGCAGUGCUAGAGUGUGGAAGGGGCAAUCGGAAUUCUUGGUGUAGCGGUGAAAUGCGUAGAUAUCAAGAGGAACACCUGAGGUGAAGACGGGUUGCUGGGCCAACACUGACGCUGAGGCGCGAAAGCCAGGGGAGCAAACGGG